rnacentral:misc_RNA from 1 species
GUUACAUGAUGUCCACCCACUGUGCCCCCAUCCCAAUCACAAAAUGUACAUGCUUAAAAGAAAAAAAAAAUAUUUAGGCAUAAAUUUUUGUAGAAAAAUUUUAUAACUUCACGAGAUCCGAUUUGGUUAGGUGGCUCACGACUUGGUUAGUCUACUAAAAUCUUAAUUUUGGAUAUUGUAAUGUUAAGAUUGCAUGCCACAAUCUCAGUAUUAUAUGAAAAUUGCUAGUCUACAAGUAAGCAUCGAUACCUCUUCUCCAUAUAAAAGUCAACUUCCA